rnacentral:rRNA from 1 species
GCCAGACUCCUACGGGAGGCAGCAGUGAGGGAUAUUGGUCAAUGGGGGAAACCCUGAACCAGCAACGCCGCGUGAGGGAAGACGGUUUUCGGAUUGUAAACCUCUGUCCUCUGUGAAGAUAAUGACGGUAGCAGAGGAGGAAGCUCCGGCUAACUACGUGCCAGCAGCCGCGGUAAUACGUAGGGAGCAAGCGUUGUCCGGAUUUACUAGGUGUAAAGGGUGCGUAGGCGACCCUGCAAGUCAGAAGUGAAAUCCAUGGGCUUAGCCCGUGAACUGCUUUUGAAACUGUAGGGCUUGAGUGAAGUAGAGGCAGGCGAAAUUCCCGGCGUAGCGGUGAAAUGCGUAGAGAUCGGGAGAAACACCAGUGGCGAAGGCGG